rnacentral:rRNA from 1 species
GGCGGACGGGUGAGUAAUAUAUAGGUAAUGUGCCCUAGAGAAGAGGAUAACAGUUGGAAACGACUGCUAAUACUCUAUAUGCCUUUAAGACAAAAGUCUGCAAGGGAAAUAUUUAUAGCUCUAGGAUCGGCCUGUACGGUAUCAGCUAGUUGGUGAGGUAAUGGCUCACCAAGGCAAUGACGCCUAACUGGUUUGAGAGGAUGAUCAGUCACACUGGAACUGAGACACGGUCCAGACUCCUACGGGAGGCAGCAGUGGGGAAUAUUGCACAAUGGGGGAAACCCUGAUGCAGCAACGCCGCGUGGAGGAUGACACAUUUCGGUGCGUAAACUCCUUUUAUAUAGGAAGAUAAUGACGGUACUAUAUGAAUAAGCGCCGGCUAACUCCGUGCCAGCAGCCGCGGUAAUACGGAGGGCGCAAGCGUUACUCGGAAUCACUGGGCGUAAAGAGCGUGUAGGCGGGUUAAUAAGUUUGAAGUGAAAUCCUAUGGCUCAACCAUAGAACUGCUUUGAAAACUGUUAACCUAGAAUAUGGGAGAGGUAGAUGGAAUUUCUGGUGUAGGGGUAAAAUCCGUAGAGAUCAGAAGGAAUACCGAUUGCGAAGGCGAUCUACUGGAACAUUAUUGACGCUGAGACGCGAAAGCGUGGGGAGCAAACAGGAUUAGAUACCCUGGUAGUCCACGCCCUAAACGAUGUACACUAGUUGUUGUGAGGCUAGACCUUGCAGUAAUGCAGUAAACACAUUAAG